AUACGGAGGAUGCGAGCGUUAUCCGGAUUUAUUGGGUUUAAAGGGUGCGUAGGCGGAUCAAUAAGUCAGUGGUGAAAUUCUGCAGCUUAACUGUAGACUUGCCAUUGAUACUGUUGGUCUUGAGUAUGGUCAAGGUAGGCGGAAUGUGUAAUGUAGCGGUGAAAUGCUUAGAUAUUACACAGAACACCGAUUGCGAAGGCAGCUUGCUGGGCCAAUACUGACGCUCAGGCACGAAAGCGUGGGGAUC
rnacentral:rRNA from 1 species